GUACCUUUGCGCUGCGAUGGUUUCCGAAUCAUACUCUUUCGUUGUGAUUAGGAAUUAAAUGGGAAUGCCGUGAAAGUCGGCAACAGUUCCCGCUGCUGUAAGUUUCAAUCCUUUUUCGAGGAUUAUUUGUUUUGACAAUCUUUGCCACUGGCUUUUCGGAGCCGGGAAGGCGUUAAAACAGAAACGAGUCAGAAGACCUGCCUUCGCCUUUCAGAUUUU
rnacentral:ncRNA from 1 species